GGUCACGAGAUCCAGCGCGAAGCCCCGGCUUGCUGGACGGCAACCCUCCCUCGCGGCGGGGUGCUCCGGGUGAUGACCCGGCGGCGACCAGAGCCGGUCGCCGCAAGCGCGAGCU
rnacentral:ncRNA from 2 species